rnacentral:rRNA from 1 species
AUACGGAGGAUCCGAGCGUUAUCCGGAUUUAUUGGGUUUAAAGGGAGCGUAGGUGGAUUGUUAAGUCAGUUGUGAAAGUUUGCGGCUCAACCGUAAAAUUGCAGUUGAAACUGGGAGUCUUGAGUACAGUAGAGGUGGGCGGAAUUCGUGGUGUAGAGGUGAAAUGCUUAGAUAUCACGAAGAACUCCGAUUGCGAAGGCAGCUCACUAGACUGUUACUGACACUGAUGCUCGAAAGUGUGGGUAUCAAACAGGAUUAGAUACCCUGGUAGUCCACACAGUAAACGAUGAAUACUCGCUGUUUGCGAUAUACAGUAAGCGGCCAAGCGAAAGCAUUAAGUAUUCCACCUGGGGAGUACGCCGGCAACGGUGAAACUCAAAUGAAUUGACGGGG